GCUGGAUGUGGUAGCGCACACUUGUAGUCCCAGCUACCUGGGAGGCUGAGAUGGGAGGAUCACCUGAGCCCAGGAGGUCAAGGUUGCAGUGAGCCAUGAUCAUGCCACUGCACUCCAGCCUGGGCAACAGAGUGAGAUCCUGUCUCCA
ensembl:misc_RNA Metazoa_SRP Metazoan signal recognition particle RNA